rnacentral:rRNA from 1 species
UACGAAGGGGGGCUAGCGUUGCUCGGAAUCACUGGGCGUAAAGGGCGCGUAGGCGGCCAUUCAAGUCGGGGGUGAAAGCCUGUGGCUCAACCACAGAAUUGCCUUCGAUACUGUUUGGCUUGAGUUUGGUAGAGGUUGGUGGAACUGCGAGUGUAGAGGUGAAAUUCGUAGAUAUUCGCAAGAACACCAGUGGCGAAGGCGGCCAACUGGACCAACACUGACGCUGAGGCGCGAAAGCGUGGGGAGCAAACAGG